ACGUGCCCAGCAGCCCGCGGUAAAUACGUAGGUGGCCAAGCGUUGUCCGGAAUUUAUUGGGCGUAAAGGGCUUGCCGGCCGGUUUUUUAAGUUUGAUGUGAAAGCCCCCCGGCUCAACCGGGGAGGGUCAUUGGAAACUGGGGAACUUGAGUGCAGAAGAGGAGAGUGGAAUUCCACGUGUAGCGGUGAAAUGCGUAGAGAUGUGGAGGAACACCAGUGGCGAAGGCGACUCUCUGGUCUGUAACUGACGCUGAGGAGCGAAAGCGUGGGGAGCGAACAGGAUUAGAUACCCUGGUAGUCCACGCCGUAAACGAUGAGUGCUAAGUGUUAGGGGGUUUCCGCCCCUUAGUGCUGCAGCUAACGCAUUAAGCACUCCGCCUGGGGAGUACGGUCGCAAGACUGAAACUCAAAGGAAUUGACGGGGGCCCGCACAAGCGGUGGAGCAUGUGGUUUAAUUCGAAGCAACGCGAAGAACCUUACCAGGUCUUGACAUCCUCUGACAAUCCUAGAGAUAGGACGUCCCCUUCGGGGGCAGAGUGACAGGUGGUGCAUGGUUGUCGUCAGCUCGUGUCGUGAGAUGUUGGGUUAAGUCCCGCAACGAGCGCAACCCUUGAUCUUAGUUGCCAGCAUUCAGUUGGGCACUCUAAGGUGACUGCCGGUGACAAACCGGAGGAAGGUGGGGAUGACGUCAAAUCAUCAUGCCCCUUAUGACCUGGGCUACACACGUGCUACAAUGGACAGAACAAAGGGCAGUCGAAACCGCGAGGUUAAGCCAAUCCCACAAAUCUGUUCUCAGUUCGGAUGGCGGUUUGCAAUUGGAUUGCGUGAAGGUGGAAUCGUUAGUAAUUGGGGAUCAGCAUGCCGCGGUGUAUACGUUCCCGGGCCUUGUACACACCGCCCGUCACACCACGAGAGUUUGUAACACCCGAAUUCGUUGAGGUAACCUUUUAGGAGCCAGCCGCCGAAGGUGGGUGACAGAUGAUUGGGGUGAAGUUUUAUUAUCAAAAUAAUCUUGC
rnacentral:rRNA from 2 species